UGGUAUCCGCCACGAGACGAGCCGGAAGGCAUAGAUGGACUGAAGGGCACACCAUCACCAGUACCUUGAUUCAUUUUAGAAGGAUCAAAAUAUGCCGCUCCCUGCUGCUGUUGCUGUUGCCAAUCAGCCAUACCAGCGGGCAUGACGGGUUGAGGAUAUGGUACUGCGCCAGCAGCAGCAGGCAUAUUACGCAUCGCUUCCAUAUACUGCUGCAUCUGUCGAUAAUACUGAGCCAUCAUAGCCGGCGUCAUUCCUCCAUACA